UAAAACUUAAAAUAUCUUAUCAAUAGAUGGCUACACUGUUUAGUGGAUCGUCUGCAGUAGAAAUUCAUGGUUGAUCAGAUGUGGCCUAGUUGUUAGCAGAGUCAUAGAACAUUGAAUGUUACAGUGUAGUUCCUAUACUCAGCCCUACAGUGCGCAAAAAUAGGAAGUGGAAAAAAUUCUGCUCAUUGCGCUGAUAUGCACAAUGCCAGAUUCAUGUAAGCAAUCUUGAACAGAUUGUAAAAAGAUGUGUAAGAUGGCGAUGUAGGAUAAGGUACGC